rnacentral:rRNA from 1 species
CCUACGGGAGGCUGCAGUGAGGAAUAUUGGUCAAUGGACGGAAGCCUGAACCAGCCAUGCCGCGUGCAGGAUGACGGCUCUAUGAGUUGUAAACCGCUUUUGUAAAAGGGUAAACCUGAAUACGUGUCUUCAGCUGAAUGUACUGUAUGAAUAAGGAUCGGCUAACUCCGUGCCAGCAGCCGCGGUAAUACGGAGGAUCCGAGCGUUAUCCGGAUUUAUUGGGUUUAAAGGGUGCGUAGGCGGGCUUUUAAGUCAGCGGUAAAAUGUUGGGGCUCAACCCCGGCUUGCCGUUGAAACUGGGGGCCUCGAGUGUGCGAGAGGCAGGCGGAAUGCGUGGUGUAGCGGUGAAAUGCAUAGAUAUCACGCAGAACUCCGAUUGCGAAGGCAGCAUACCGGGGCCCGACUGACGCUGAGGCACGAAAGCGUGGGGAUCGAACAGGAUUAGAUACCCGUGUAGUC